AUUUAGAGUUUGAUCCUAGCUCAGGAUGAACGCUGGCGGCGUGGGUAAGGCAUGCAAGUCAAACGGUUGAGUGCUAGCAAUAGCGCUCAGCAGUGGCGAACGAGGUAGUAAUAAGCAGGUACGAACCGAGAAGUCAGGAAUAGUCCGCCGAAAGGCGGGUUAAUACUUGAUGGUCUGAGCAUCUCACAAAGGUUCGAUGCAGUAAAGAUUUAUCGCUUCUUGAUCGGCCUGUUCGAUAUCAGCUAGUUGGUAGGGUAAUGGCCUACCAAGGCUAUGACGUCUAGGGGAGCUGAGAGGCUGACCCCCACCGAUGGAACUGAGACACGGUCCAUACACCUACGGGUGGCCGCAGUCGAGAAUCUUCCGCAAUGGGCGAAAGCCUGACGGAGCGACGCCGCGUGAUUGAUGAAGUCCUUAGGGAUGUAAAAAUCUUUUAUGAGGGAGGAAGUUUAUUGACGUUACCUCAUGAAUAAGGGGUUGCAAAACUCGUGCCAGCAGCAGCGGUAAUACGAGUGCCCCGAGCGUUAUCCGGAAUCAUUGGGCGUAAAGGAUGUGUAGGCGGUCUUGUUAGUCUUUUGUUAAGGCUCCCGGCUUAACCGGGAAAAUGCAAAGGAAACGGCAAGACUUGAGGGUGCGAGGGGUCUAUGGAACUCAUGGUGUAGGGGUGAAAUCUGUUGAUAUCAUGGGGAACACCAAAAGCGAAGGCAAUAGACUGGAGCAUUCCUGACGCUGAAACAUGAAAGCGUGGGUAGCGAAUGGGAUUAGAUAAACCCCAGUAGUCCACGCCCUAAACUAUCUUCUCUGGCUUUUCGGAGUAUCGACCCUCUGAGAGGCGAAGCUAACGCGUUAAGAGAAGCGCCUGGGUAGUACGACCGCAAGGUUAAAACUCAAAGGAAUAGACGGGGACUUGCACAAGCGGUGGAUCAUGUGGUUUAUCACAAGGACGGUUAGACAGGUGAUGCAUGGCCGUCGUCAGUUCGUGGUUUGAAUUGUUCCCUUAAGUGGGGUAACGAACGCAACCCUCGUUGCCUGUUAUAAGUGUCAGGCGAGACUCUUCCGAGCAAAAUCGGGGGAGGAAGGCGAGGAUGACGCCAGGUCAGCAUGUCCCUCUGAUACCCUGGGCUACACACGUGAUACAAUGGCCGUUACAACGGGACGCAAUGCCGAGAGGCGGAGCAAAUCCUUAUAAAAGCGGCCUAAGUUCGGAUUGAGGUCUGCAACUCGACCUCAUGAAGCUGGAAUCGCUAGUAAUCACAGGUCAGCUAUACUGUGGUGAAUACGUUCUCAAGUCUUGUACUCACCGCCCGUCAACUCAAGGGAGUCGGAAGUACCCGAAGUCUGCCAUUAGGCGGCCUACGGUAAGUUCGAUGACAGGGAGUAAGUCGUGGGGGAGAAAACAUGAACAAGGCACGGGUAGCGGAAGCUGCUCGUGGAUUAUUU
rnacentral:rRNA from 1 species